rnacentral:rRNA from 2 species
CAAGGUUUCCGUAGGUGAACCUGCGGAAGGAUCAUUAAC